rnacentral:ncRNA from 2 species
UUCACAGUGGCUAAGUUCCGUU